rnacentral:pre_miRNA from 1 species
GGCUCAGAUUCGGAGUAGAGUAGAUUAGAAAGAUCAUCUGACCCUACUAAACUACUCUACUUCGAGUUUGUGCCC